AGGGGGAUUUUGCACAAUGGGCGCAAGCCUGAUGCAGCGACGCCGCGUGAUGGAUGAAUGCCUUCGGGUUGUAAACCUCUUUCGCUGGGUUGAAAGGCCAUGCUUUGGGUGUGGUUGAUUUGAACUGGUAAAGAAGUACCGGCUAACUACGUGCCAGCAGCCGCGGUAAUACGUAGGGUACUAGCGUUGUCCGGAUUUAUUGGGCGUAAAGGGCUUGUAGGUGGUUUGUCGCGUCUGUCGUGAAAUCCUGUGGCUUAACCAUGGGCUUGCGGUGGGUACGGGCAGGCUUGAGUGCGGUAGGGGAGACUGGAAUUCCUGGUGUAGCGGUGGAGUCCGCAGAUAUCAGGAGGACCACCUGUGACGGAGGCGAGUCUCUGGGCCAUUACUGACACUGAGGAGCGAAAGCGUGGGGAGCGAACAGG
rnacentral:rRNA from 1 species